UACGAGGGGGCGAGCGUUGUUCGGAAUUAUUGGGCGUAAAGAGCUUGUAGGCGGUUUGUCGCGUCUGCUGUGAAAUUUCGGGGCUCAACCCCGAACUUGCAGUGGGUACGGGCAGACUAGAGUGUGGUAGGGGAGACUGGAAUUCCUGGUGUAGCGGUGAAAUGCGCAGAUAUCAGGAGGAACACCGAUGGCGAAGGCAGGUCUCUGGGCCAUAACUGACGCUGAGAAGCGAAAGCAUGGGGAGCGAACAGG
rnacentral:rRNA from 1 species